rnacentral:tRNA from 1 species
UAUAUUUAAGUAUAAGAUGUAUAAAAGUUUUUGAUACUUUAGGAGAUAGUUUAAUUCUAUUAAAUAUAA